rnacentral:rRNA from 1 species
UACGAAGGGUGCAAACGUUGCUCGGAAUUAUUGGGCGUAAAGCGCACGUAGGCGGCAUUGCAAGUCGGAUGUGAAAUCCCUCGGCUUAACCAAGGAAGUGCAUCCGAAACUGCAGUGCUUGAGUACUUAAGAGGAUCGCGGAAUUCCCGGUGUAGUGGUGAAAUGCGUAGAGAUCGGGAGGAACACCAGUGGCGAAGGCGGCUUGCUGGGCCGGACCUGACGCUGAGGCGCGAAGGCGUGGGGAGCGAACGGG